GUUCAUUCUGGCAAGGAUCACACAAUUUUCAAUUUAAUCACGUAUAACCUUUGAGCUGCUCUCAACUUACUUCUGUGGCUCGACGAGCACCUUGAGCUUGUCCACGCUCAGGUAGGUGCGUCCGUUGCGCGACUGUGUGGCCGGCUUGAACUUGACCGAAAACUUGGGAUUGUGCAGGCUACAAAAAUGACAUGCUCGGCUACUUACACGGCCCUGUCGAACUUAACGCCGGACAAUCCCUCCACGUUGACAUCGCGGAAGUUGAGCUUCAGGCUCAGCGAGCCGGCGCGUCCAUCCGAGAUGUCAAAGCGCUUGACCAGGAACGGCUCCACCUGCGGAAAGGCCGCGGGCGCAUAGCCCGUGCGCGCAUAUUGACGGAUCAGCCUGUGCGAUACAUUGAUGAUGCAGUCGGUGUCGCCAUAAUGACAGCGGGGCAGCUCAGCAGCUAAAUUAAAAUGCCAAAGCGAAAUCAAAACUUAUUCGACGCACUGGCGCACUCGUGCGGGACUCACGGAAAUUGGAGGCGCCACUGGCACCAAGUGCCAGGCCGAGCAGCAAAACGGAGCACAGCGACAGGAGCAUCAUUUUUUUACUAUGCGAAACGGACGCUUACAAAUCUCAGAAAUAAAUUAUUUGGCGGCUAAGACGCGGGCGCGCUGCUUUCCGCGAACUCCCGACCAAGUUCAAUGCUAAACUGUAAAUUGGCUCUGGACAAACGCAGCCAUUUAUAGACUUUUUUUCAGAGCUCGCUCUGAAGCGGCCACCGGUCAGAUUCAGCCAAUACAUUAAAUAGUUUAUUCAUUCUUA